UAUGCUCAUGCAGAGUUUCUGUGGCUAUGUCGAUGAAAAUGCACUAGACGCCUUUGUUUUAUCCUCGCCUGCUGGUAUUCCACUAUACUCUAAGUUCGGAUUCAAAGCAGUCGGUGUUGUUGAAACAAAGCAAGGAAACUUUACUAGCAUGCUAAGGACUUCAGGCCUUAGCCUCUAGGAAAACAUGGUAUUCGCCUUGGUGAAGAAUCAACCAAGGUAGCAAAAUUUGACAACACAGUUGCACCACUGGCAGAGAUCAAUAAUAAAUAUGGACUGUCAGGAAAUAAUAACAAGAAGUUCAUGAUCGCCUAUGUACAGUGUCAGGAACAUCCAUGGUCAUUCAGAUGAUUUCCCUCAGUGUCCUUCCAGCAGUAUUCUCUGCAAUCGCACCGCUGGUCAUCAUCAGUACUAACAACCCAAAAAGCUUCAAUGAGCUCCAAAUCCUUGACCGACCCCCGUAUCAUGAUGUUGGUCUUGCCCUCCGUGAUCUCCACGGAUAACUCCGGGUCAUAUCUGUCUAGAGAACGCACGCCAAGUACAUUCUCUAACCGUGUUG
rnacentral:sRNA from 1 species